UGGGGAAUAUUGGACAAUGGGCGCAAGCCUGAUCCAGCCAUGCCGCGUGAGUGAUGAAGGCCCUAGGGUUGUAAAGCUCUUUCACCGGUGAAGAUAAUGACGGUAACCGGAGAAGAAGCCCCGGCUAACUUCGUGCCAGCAGCCGCGGUAAUACGAAGGGGGCUAGCGUUGUUCGGAUUUACUGGGCGUAAAGCGCACGUAGGCGGACUAUUAAGUCAGGGGUGAAAUCCCGGGGCUCAACCCCGGAACUGCCUUUGAUACUGGUAGUCUUGAGUUCGAGAGAGGUGAGUGGAAUUCCGAGUGUAGAGGUGAAAUUCGUAGAUAUUCGGAGGAACACCAGUGGUGAAGGCGGCUCACUGGCUCGAUACUGACGCUGAGGUGCGAAAGCGUGGGGAGCAAACAGG
rnacentral:rRNA from 1 species